UACGUAGGGGGCAAGCGUUGUCCGGAAUCAUUGGGCGUAAAGCGCGUGUAGGCGGUUCAGUAAGUCUGCUGUGAAAGUCCAGGGCUCAACCCUGGGAUGCCGGUGGAUACUGCUGGGCUAGAGUACGGAAGAGGCGAGUGGAAUUCCCGGUGUAGCGGUGAAAUGCGUAGAUAUCUGGAGGAACACCGGUGGCGAAGGCGGCAUCCUGGACCAACACUGACGCUGAGUGAGCGAAAGCCAGGGGAGCAAACGGG
rnacentral:rRNA from 1 species